AGGUUAAGUUAACAAGGGCGCAUGGUGAAUGCCUUGGCACUAGGAGCCGAUGAAGGACGGGACUAACACCGAUAUGCUUCGGGGAGCUGUACGUAAGCUAUGAUCCGGAGAUUUCCGAAUGGGGCAACCCAGCAGUUUUAAUCAACUGUUACCACUAGAUGAAUUCAUAGUCUAGUUGGAGGUAAACGCUGUGAACUGAAACAUCUCAUUAGCAGCAGGAAUAUAAAGAAAUUUCGAUUCCCUAAGUAGCGGCGAGCGAACGGGGAACAGCCCAAACCAAAGUGCUUGCACUUUGGGGUUGUAGGACUGAACAUUUGAGUUACCAAAGAACUUGAUAGUCGAAGGAUUUGGGAAAAUCCGCCAUAGAUGGUGAUAGCCCAGUAGAUUAAAUCAAAUUCUCUCAGUUCAGGAUCCUGAGUACGGCGGAACACGUGAAAUUCCGUCGGAAUCCGGGAGGACCAUCUCCCAAGGCUAAAUACUACCUAGUGACCGAUAGUGAACCAGUACCGUGAGGGAAAGGUGAAAAGCACCCCGGGAGGGGAGUGAAAUAGUUCCUGAAACCAUGUGCCUACAAUAAGUCAGAGCGCGUUAAUGCGUGAUGGCGUGCCUUUUGUAGAAUGAACCGGCGAGUUAUGAUCCCGUGCAAGGUUAAGACUAAAAAGUCGGAGCCGUAGCGAAAGCGAGUCUGAAAUGGGCGUUUUGAGUACGAGGUUAUAGACCCGAAACCAGGUGACCUAUCCAUGUCCAGGUUGAAGGUGCGGUAAAACGCACUGGAGGACCGAACCCGUGUAAGUUGAAAAUUGCUGGGAUGAGGUGUGGAUAGCGGUGAAAUUCCAAACGAACUUGGAGAUAGCUGGUUCUCUCCGAAAUAGCUUUAGGGCUAGCCUCGGAAUUAGGAUCAUGGAGGUAGAGCACUAUUUGGACUAGGGGCCCGUCUUGGGUUACUGAAUUCAGAUAAACUCCGAAUGCCAUUGAUUCAUAUCCGGGAGUCAGACGAUGAGUGAUAAGAUCCACCGUCGAAAGGGGAACAGCCCAGACCAUCAGUUAAGGUCCCUAAAUGUAUGCUAAGUGGAAAAGGAUGUGGAGUUGCAUAGACAACUAGGAUGUUGGCUCAGAAGCAGCCACCAUUUAAAGAGUGCGUAAUAGCUCACUAGUCGAGUGAUCCUGCGCCGAAAAUGUACCGGGGCUAAGCAUACUACCGAAACCAUGGAUGCGACCAUUAGGUCGCGUGAUAGGAGAGCGUUCUAAGGGCGGUGAAGCAAGAUCGUGAGGACUUGUGGAGCGCUUAGAAGUGAGAAUGCCGGUAUGAGUAGCGAAAGAUAGGUGAGAAUCCUAUCCACCGAAUGACUAAGGUUUCCUGGGGAAGGCUCGUCCUCCCAGGGUUAGUCGGGACCUAAGUCGAGGCCGAGAGGCGUAGACGAUGGAUAACAGGUUGAGAUUCCUGUACUAGUUAAGUGCGUUUGAGCAAUGGAGGGACGCAGGAGGCUAAGAUGUGCAUUCUGUUGGAUUAGAAUGUCCAAGCAGUAAGUCUUGUGAAGAGUCAAAUGCUUUUCACUUUAAGGACAAGCUGUGAUGGGGAGCGAAAUUUAGUAGCGAAGCGUCUGAUGUCACACUGCCGAGAAAAACUUCUAGUGAGUACUUAACUACCCGUACCGCAAACCGACACAGGUAGUCGAGGAGAGAAUCCUAAGGUGAGCGAGUGAACUCUCGUUAAGGAACUCGGCAAAAUGACCCCGUAACUUCGGGAGAAGGGGUGCUGAUCGCAAGAUCAGCCGCAGUGAAUAGGCCCAGGCGACUGUUUAUCAAAAACACAGGUCUCUGCAAAAUCGUAAGAUGACGUAUAGGGGCUGACGCCUGCCCGGUGCUGGAAGGUUAAAAGGAUGGGUUAGCUUCGGCGAAGCUCAGAAUUGAAGCCCCAGUAAACGGCGGCCGUAACUAUAACGGUCCUAAGGUAGCGAAAUUCCUUGUCGGGUAAGUUCCGACCCGCACGAAAGGCGUAACGAUCUGGGCACUGUCUCAACGAGAGACUCGGUGAAAUUAUAUUGUCCGUGAAGAUGCGGACUACCCGCGACAGGACGGAAAGACCCCAUGGAGCUUUACUGUAGCUUGAUAUUGAGUGUUUGUACAGCUUGUACAGGAUAGGUAGGAGCCAUAGAAACCGGAACGCUAGUUUCGGUGGAGGCGUUGGUGGGAUACUACCCUCGCUGUAUGACCACUCUAACCCGCACCACUAAUCGUGGUGGGAGACAGUGUCAGGUGGGCAGUUUGACUGGGGCGGUCGCCUCCUAAAAAGUAACGGAGGCGCCCAAAGGUUCCCUCAGAAUGGUUGGAAAUCAUUCGCAGAGUGUAAAGGCACAAGGGAGCUUGACUGCGAGACAGACAGGUCGAGCAGGGACGAAAGUCGGGCUUAGUGAUCCGGUGGUACCGUAUGGAAGGGCCAUCGCUCAACGGAUAAAAGCUACCCUGGGGAUAACAGGCUUAUCUCCCCCAAGAGUCCACAUCGACGGGGAGGUUUGGCACCUCGAUGUCGGCUCAUCGCAUCCUGGGGCUGUAGUCGGUCCCAAGGGUUGGGCUGUUCGCCCAUUAAAGCGGUACGCGAGCUGGGUUCAGAACGUCGUGAGACAGUUCGGUCCCUAUCCGUCGCGGGCGUAGGAAAUUUGAGAGGACCUGUCCUUAGUACGAGAGGACCGGGAUGGACAUACCUCUGGUGUACCAGUUGUGCCGCCAGGCGCAUCGCUGGGUAGCUACGUAUGGAUGUGAUAAACGCUGAAAGCAUCUAAGUGUGAAACACACCUCGAGAUGAGAUUUCCCAUUCCUUUAUGGAAGUAAGACCCCUGAAAGAUGAUCAGGUAGAUAGGUUAGAAGUGGCAGUGCGGUGACGCAUGAAGCGGACUAAUACUAAUCGGUCGAGGACUUAACCAAG
rnacentral:rRNA from 2 species